rnacentral:rRNA from 1 species
AAAUUGAAGAGUUUGAUCAUGGCUCAGAUUGAACGCUGGCGGCAGGCCUAACACAUGCAAGUCGAACGGUAACAGGAAGCAGCUUGCUGCUUUGCUGACGAGUGGCGGACGGGUGAGUAAUGUCUGGGAAACUGCCUGAUGGAGGGGGAUAACUACUGGAAACGGUAGCUAAUACCGCAUAACGUCGCAAGACCAAAGAGGGGGACCUUCGGGCCUCUUGCCAUCGGAUGUGCCCAGAUGGGAUUAGCU